rnacentral:rRNA from 1 species
AAUCUUGGACAAUGGGGGAAACCCUGAUCCAGCCAUUCCGCGUGUAAGAUGAAGGCCCNUGGUUUNUNACGUACUUUUCGCAGAGNCGAAAAGGUAUCUCCUAAUACGAGAUACUGCUGACGGUAUCUGCAGAAUAAGCACCGGCUAACUACGUGCCAGCAGCCGCGGUAAUACGUAGGGUGCAAGCGUUAAUCGGAAUUACUGGGCGUAAAGCGUGUGUAGGCGGUUCGAAAAGAAAGAUGUAAAAUCCCAGGGCUCAACCUUGGAACUGCAUUUUUAACUGCCGAGCUAGAGUAUGUCAGAGGGGGGUAGAAUUCCACGUGUAGCAGUGAAAUGCGUAGAUAUGUGGAGGAAUACCGAUGGCGAAGGCAGCCCCCUGGGAUAAUACUGACGCUCAGACACGAAAGCGUGGGGAGCAAACAGG